ensembl:lincRNA
AUGUAUUUGAAGGGAAGCCUUGCCGCAGCCUGCUGGGGAGCUGGUCUCACAGCACUUCCCCAUCCCGCUCUAGCCUCCUUGCUGAGCAUCCCUGCUAUGACUCAGGCAGCCUGCAUGGGUCCUCAAAAAAAAAAAAAAAAAAGAUGGCCAUUCAGGGAGACCACUGGACUCACGUGGGAGGCAGACAGAUCCCAAAGAGAACAGACUGAGUCAUUAUCAAAGACUCCCAGGCCUGCACACCAAACGGGCAUCAGCCAGGGCACAUGGCCAGCCAGCCGGCCAGCAGCCUUUAACUUCUCCCCAAGCCAGGGCUCAGAGACCAAAAAUCCGACAGCUGUAAGCAAGCUGAGCCCUGGCGCUGAAGGACAAAGCCAUGGGAAGCCAGACACCUUUCCUGAGGCUUCCAAACAGUUACUCCGAACUGCUUCUUGGUCCUGGAAGCCCGGUCCUGAACUCUUCACUAUCCUGGCUUUUGUGGGAUUUCUGUUGCAUACGGGAGCGCUUAAGGAGAGAAGGUCAAAGGAGCCAAGAAGCCAAGUAAGCGGUGGUGCAAAAGUGGCUGGUGGAGAGAAGCUUGCAUAUUUUUUGCAUCCCUCUGGGGAUCACCAGGCCAACCGCUCCAAAACAUCAGGACAGCAGCAUCCACUCCACCGGGGACUAGAGCCAGGGCCGAGACGUCCUUGUCGCCAGCCGCCUGCACUCACCAUCGGCCAGAUUGAUUUCAGGUUGGCUCAGGCUCCUCAGGAUCUGCCUUGGGACUCUGGAGAGAACCGCUCAGUUCCUGACACUGUCAGCCGUUCGGAUGAGUCACAGCCAUCGCUUGACCAAGUUGCUUUCUGUGCAAGCUUGAGGGGCUUUCCUUCCUCUGGAGACUCUCCUAAGUCACACUGUAUAUUGUAGAUCACACUUUUUGUGGUCCCAUGAUCUCCUUGCCCAGAAGACCAGGGACUCACAGAGUUAUGGAAUGUCAGUGCAGAGGUUCUCUUAUAUCCUAGGUCCUCAUUAACCUCAUGGGGCGGGGACCAAAAUACUGGCCGUCCUCCUAGCCCUUCUAUCUUUCUAGUUUUUAGUCUCCGAACCUCAGUUGUUGAACAUCCUGGAGAAAAGAUUGAUGAUGUCACAGUGUAACAAGGCAGUAAGCUUAACAUUACUACAUUAUCUGAAUGUCAGGCACCUUACAACAUAAAAGAGAACUGUUGUUUUUUAUCAACCAUCAAUGUGCUAGUAUUUAAAUCCUCCUAUGAUGUUAACAGUUUCAUGUUUAACAUGCCAAAGUAGAAUUCAAAGUCAUACCUAAUACUGUAGCAUGACAAUUACGAGAUUUUGUAACAACCUAAAUUUCCAUGUUGACCUACCCCUUUUAGUCAGCCAUCCCUAUACAUAAAAAGCUCUUCCUCAACUUGUUGACCUUUAGUGGGAUACACACCACAUAAGCUUUUGUUAAAGGCAGAGUUCUGAAUCUGAAAGGAAAGUCUUAUUAACAUAAACAAUCCCUGUUCUACAUAUUGGAAGACAGGUAAAUCUGGAGGUGUGAAUACAUUUAAUUUAACACAAGAACAACAAAACUUAAUUAUCAGAGCCAUAUGAAAACCUUGAUUUCUUAAUUUGGUUUCGUAUGAAAAUUGUAUUUUAUGAAGAUACUUUAUUAUCUUCUAGAAAAUGUAACCUUUGGAUGAUGAGCAAUGUAAACAUACCACUGUAACAUUUUACUUGUUUAUUUAUUUUUGUCUUUUAGAGACAGGAUCUCCCUGUGAAGUUCAGGCUGGCCUGGAGCUCACUUUAUGGCCCACGCUGAUCUUGAACUCAUGAUGAUGCUCCUGCCUCAGCCUCCUGAGUGCUGGGAUUACAGGUGUGUGCCACACACCCGACUGGUCACACCUUUUUAACAACAUUUAUUAGGAUGGCUCUCAUAAGGCUAUUGGGUACUCCCAUUAAUGAGCAAAGACUGGACAAUGAUUUGUUCCAGGCAGCUGCUUCUUUAUUCACCAAAAGGGCAUCCUGGCCAAUAGGCUAAAGGACUUUUGUUUAAUUAUCUUAAUAAAUUUUUUGAUGACUUAUGAAAACCCAGUCACAGCAUUUAACAUGGUAUUUUUGAACAAGAAGAGACUCUCAAAUCAUGAUACAGAAUCAUAGUAUAUGUUAAAUUAACACAACCAGUUAUAGCAUUGUCUUGACCAGCUGGCAACUCAGGUGGAAGCAUGCUUUUAGAUCUAUGACCCAUAUGAAAUUUUGAACAAAUGACCCAAAAAUACAAAAGAAGAAGAAGAAACUAUUGAUGAUCCAAGAAAUAUUCAUAAACGUUGUUAUCUCUGAGGCUUCCAGUCUCUGUGGAAGUGUGUGACUUCAGUCCCAGAUCAAGACUCUUCUCUGGUAUUGGUAUUUUCUGUAGUCAGGCCAGUCUGUUGGCCGUCAAUUCUGCUGAAAAUAGUUUAAUCCUUGUGAAAUAGUAUAGGGGAAACCGUGCUCUAUGAGUCACAUGAAUCUACCAAUGGGUUUAUGCUGUGUGUGGUAUUAUAGUUGGUACCACUGUGUCAGUGAGCUUUCAGUUGCUGUGAGAAAUACCCGAGGCAACCAAUUUAAUAAAAGGAAGUGAGCAUGGUAGCACGUGCCUGGAAUCCCAGCUCUCAGGAGGCUGCUGAAAAGGAUUGCUGUGUGUUCCAGGCGAGUCUGGACUAUAUAAUGACACCUUGUCUCAAAAAACAAAGUGAAACAAAACAAAACAAAACUUAAUAAGAGGAAAGGUUUAUUUUUGGUCACAGUUUCAGUGGUUUUAAUUUGUGAUCACAGUUCAUCAUGCUGGCAACCUGUGGAAGAGGAGGCUGCUCAGGUUAUAAUGGCCAGCAAGGCAAAAAGAGAGGCAGGACAGUCCUUGUGAGCUCCAGAAUAGCCUGGGUUAUAAAGUGAGCUCAAGGUCAGCCUGACCUGCAUAGUUGAGACUCUGUUUCAAAAAGACAAAAAAAUGCCAAACCUUUGAGGGGACGCCCCAGUGACCUCACUUCCUUUCAUGAGGCCUGCCCCUUAAAGGUUCCAUCACCUCCCAAUAGCACCCCAGGCUGGGAACCAAAUCUUCAACCCUUAGGCCUUUGGAGUUCAG